rnacentral:misc_RNA from 1 species
GAUGAAGAACGUAGCGAAAUGCGAUAAGUAAUGUGAAUUGCAGAAUUCAGUGAAUCAUCGAAUCUUUGAACGCACAUUGCGCCCGCCAGUAUUCUGGCGGGCAUGCCUGUUCGAGCGUCAUUACAACCCUCAGGCCCCCGGGCCUGGCGUUGGGGAUCGGCGGAAGCCCCCUGUGGGCACACGCCGUCCCUCAAAUACAGUGGCGGUCCCGCCGCAGCUUCCAUUGCGUAGUAGCUAACACCUCGCAACUGGAGAGCGGCGCGGCCAUGCCGUAAAACACCCAACUUCUGAAUGUUGACCUCGAAUAAGGUAGGAAUACCCGCUGAACUUAAGCAUAUCAAUAAGCGGAGGA